rnacentral:rRNA from 1 species
AGUGAACGCUGGCGGUAGGCCUAACACAUGCAAGUCGAACGGCAGCACAGUAAGAGCUUGCUCUUACGGGUGGCGAGUGGCGGACGGGUGAGGAAUACAUCGGAAUCUACUUUUUCGUGGGGGAUAACGUAGGGAAACUUACGCUAAUACCUCAUACGACCUACGGGUUAAAGCAGGGGAUCUUCGGACCUUGCCCGAUUGAAUGAGCCGAUGUCGGAUUAGCUAGUUGGCGGGGUAAAGGCCCACCAAGGCGACGAUCCGUAGCUGGUCUGAGAGGAUGAUCAGCCACACUGGAACUGAGACACGGUCCAGACUCCUACGGGAGGCAGCAGUGGGGAAUAUUGGACAAUGGGCGCAAGCCUGAUCCAGCCAUACCGCGUGAGUGAAGAAGGCCUUCGGGUUGUAAAGCCCUUUUGUUGGGGAAGAAAAGCAGCAGGUUAAUACCCGGCUGUUCUGACGGUACCCAAAGAAUAAGCACCGGCUAACUUCGUG